AUCCUAGUAGAUUAAGUUUAAAUUGUAAGGCUGUUAACUUUAAGAUGAUGUGUUGUUUUGUCCUAGAUCG
rnacentral:tRNA from 1 species